UACAGAGGUGGCAAGCGUUGUUCGGAUUUAUUGGGCGUAAAGGGUCCGUAGGUGGCUUGGAAAGUUGGAUGUGAAAUACCACAGCUCAACUGUGGAACGGCAUUCAAAACUCCCAGGCUAGAGUGCGAGAGGGGUAAAGGGAAUUCCCGGUGUAAGGGUGAAAUCUGCAGAGAUCGGGAGGAACACCAGUCGCGAAGGCGCUUUACUGGCUCGUAACUGACACUGAGGGACGAAAGCUAGGGUAGCAAACGGGAUUAGAUACCCCGGUAGUCCUAGCCGUAAACGAUGAUCACUAGGUGUUGGAGGGGUUAAACCCUUCGGUGCCGCCGCUAACGCAUUAAGUGAUCCGCCUGGGGAGUACGGUCGCAAGGCUGAA
rnacentral:rRNA from 1 species